rnacentral:rRNA from 1 species
UUGGAGGGCAAGUCUGGUGCCAGCAGCCGCGGUAAUUCCAGCUCCAAUAGCGUAUAUUAAAGUUGUUGCAGUUAAAAAGCUCGUAGUUGAAUUUCGGGAUUGACGUGAUGGUCAUGCCUUAAGGGGUAUGAACUGUUACUGUUGAUUUCUCACCUUCUGGAGAAACUUGAUGUCCUUUAUUGGGUGUCUUGCGGAUCCAGGACCUUUACCUUGAAAAAAUUAGAGUGUUUAAAGCAGGCAUUUUUGCUCGAAUACAUUAGCAUGGAAUAAUAGAAUAGGACGGCAUGGUUCUAUUUUGUUGGUUUCUAGGAUCACCGUAAUGAUUAAUAGGGAUAGUUGGGGGCAUUAGUAUUCAAUUGUCAGAGGUGAAAUUCUUGGAUUUAUUGAAGACUAACUACUGCGAAAGCAUUUGCCAAGGAUGUUUUCAUUAAUCAAGAACGAAAGUUAGGGGAUCGAAGACGAUCAGAUACCGUCGUAGUCUUAACCAUAAACUAUGCCGACUAGGAAUCAGACGAUGUUAAUUUUUUAAUGACUCGUUUGGCGCCUUACGGGAAACCAAAG